AUGGGGUUUCACCAUGUUGGCCAGGCUCUUCUCCAACUCCUGACUUAAGGUGAUCCACCCACCUUGGCCUCCCAAAGUGCUAGGAUUACAGGUGUGAGCCACCACACCCGGCCAGGGGCUGUUUUUGUGACUCACACAGGUGACCCAUUCAGCCUCAAGGGGGAAUCCAUGUUGGAAAGCAGUGGCUCUGCUGGACUGGAAGGCAGGGCCCAGCCGUCCCAUUCGGGAUCAAAGCCUCUGUCGCCUCUGAGAUGACAACCAGUCUUUUUCUGUGGAUUGACUGACUCUGAGGGCAAUUUCUGAAAUGUUUUCAGUGGAAAUGAAGGAUAAGCAUCACACACCUCCAGCAAGGGCUUUGAUCAGCGCAGUCCUUUGCAUGUUGUCGGAGCCACGCACAUCCUGCUGUUUCUCCUUGUGGCCCAGCACCACCUGCUGGUCAGUGGCAGAACUGUCCUGACUUCGUCAACAUGAGGCUGCUAACAGGGAAAACUGCAUCUCAGCAUUUUCAUUGUUUCUGAUUAUUAAGUGAAAAGCAAAUUAUUUUCUUCUUGAAUGCUACUUAUUUGUAAGAAAUAGCUGUUUCUAAGGACUUGUGAAUUCCCGCAUCUGUGUUUGAUGUUAUUUGUAUGCAAUGGAUUGCUGGCCCUUUGUUCUUAAGUACAGAGAAGACCAAAGAUGCCUCCGGUGACCUCUCCAGUGAGGAUCCACAUCCUGCCAGACUUGCUCUCUGACAAACUGGAAAGGCAUGUUGUUCGGUGCUCCAGCAGCCAGAAGUGUUUUUUGUGGAACUAAAACUAAUGCUGUUACUCUCACAAAGGAAAUGUUCUUUUACUAAGUUAUUGCUGAUUACUGAAUGUCUGUUAUAUAAAGGUUUGCUGUCAAGAAGGAAAGUUAUAUUUUUUAUCACAUUUUAAGUUUUUAAGCAAAUGUGAUUUUUUUUUUAAAGAAAUAAGGCUUUCUCUGAGAAUUGUGUGCUAUUCAUAAUUUUAGAAAUUACAAACUGCUUGGAACAACUACUUGAGUGUAUUUUUCUACACAGGACUGUACUUCUGCCACUUCUUCCUUUUAAACAAAACUGUCAUAUCAUGUAUUAAAAUUUCCUUGGUUUUAUAUAUCAGAGAAUAAAAACUUUUUUGACUUUUGAGUAAACAAACAAAAAAAUCACUGGCCUUACUCACUUAAUAAUUCUUCAUCUUCUUACCAACAAAAAGGUCUCUAGCUGUUCAUAAU
rnacentral:lncRNA from 1 species